UACGAAGGGGGCUAGCGUUGCUCGGAAUCACUGGGCGUAAAGCGCACGUAGGCGGCUUUUUAAGUCAGAGGUGAAAUCCUGGAGCUCAACUCCAGAACUGCCUUUGAUACUGAGAGGCUUGAGUCCGGGAGAGGUGAGUGGAACUGCGAGUGUAGAGGUGAAAUUCGUAGAUAUUCGCAAGAACACCAGUGGCGAAGGCGGCUCACUGGCCCGGUACUGACGCUGAGGCGCGAAAGCGUGGGGAGCAAACAGG
rnacentral:rRNA from 1 species